UAGAGCUUUUCAUUCGUGAUCAAUUCUUUUUUCAAUCAAAUUCCCGAAAGUUUCCACUAUUUUUCUCCAGGUAUUAGAUGCUGAUGGUGUAGACAUUUGCCUCUACCCCAUAAUUUGUUUAGCUCUUUGUGCAAUAGAUUUCAUUAAAAAAAAAAAAAGGUUUAUUUGUUUUGACAGGUCCAUGUGCCACCAUCGUGUCAUGCCAUGAACAUGUCAUAAUAUAAAAUAGUCCCCGCAAUUAGCUCGGUGGUACAAUGACGUAGAAAUGGCUGUCUUAUAAUUUCUGAGAUUUUGAAACCCAAUCCCAGUGCUCCCUAUAAACACCCUCAUUUAUGAGAUGGCUGUUUCUCUGGUUUCAGUAGGGACAGGAGCCAAGAUAAACCGCCGGCCUCUAUCGUCAUCAGUGCUGUAGAGGUGGCCGACCUGCAGAAGGGACAGCGGGUCCAACAGGACAGUGCCCAUGCCCAACGAUAAAAAGACGGCUAUCUCGAAGGGUUAUGUGAACCGCUCUGAUUGACAUGGUGCCUCAUAAGAACAAAAUAUGACAGCAAAAAAAGUGAAGGUCAUUUUCACGUUUCCCCUCUGGGUUCAGAGACGAUGAAUGUGAAUUCCGGGCGUGACGGAAGCCUCAGUGCAAGGAGUGGAUUUGGGGAGAGUCACUAGCAGGUUUCCAACCCUCUCUGUAUGUAACUUCCCGCUCAACAAGCAGAGGGAGAGAAGAAGCCCCGCGUGCCUCCUUGCCUUGUCCGGGCUCAGUGAGCAGGAUUCAGCCUUUGGUGUGGGGCUGGAGCAGAGGGUCAGAAGCACGUGUGCCAGGAAAGGAAGGGUUUCAUGAAUCCGCAAAGGAACAAUGACUGAGCCUCCUAUAAAACUAUCAUGGGAUGAGUCGACAUCUGCUCAAAAUGCUGAACUCCCCACGGUGGCACCGAGGGAAGGAGGCCUCACUGCUCGGCUAUGGCUCCAGCCCUGCACGUACCUGGUGCUCACAGCCACCCUCAUGGUUCCUCAUGGCCUCCCCAUUCCGUCUCCAGUGCUGGAACCUCCCCAGAUCUGAUCCCUCCCCAACUGCAUUUCUGACUUAUGCUGUCACCUCAGAGGUUUUAGUCGCAUCCCUGCAGGGACACCCCAGCACGUGGUCCUAUCGCCGAAGCCGGCCCUGGAGGGACUGUUCCGAGUGGUAGUUUCCAAGUUCCAGGUCACCUUGGAACCAAGCCCUUCCCUGCUGGGAAUGGGGGUCUUGGGCUGGCAGGGUGGGGGCUGCCUGGGAAUAAAACAGACAUGGCGACAAAUGGUUUGAUAUGUUCGAUGGGCAGAAAAUACAGUUCUCGGCUUUCACCCGGGCAGUGACAAGGCCUUGAGGCAGAUCCUGGGUGGGCCGCAGCCUGAGCAUAGGUCGGGGUGGAGCAUCUGUCACGCAAGUGGAAGGCAGAACUUCCGUUGUGUUUAUGGUAGUGUUUUUGUACUUAAUAUACAAGAAUUUGACAAAGCACUACAGUCUAAUCAUCUAAUAAUAUCUAUUUUACCCCUUCAAAUUAUUAUCUCUAGUCUUAAAAUGUUAAAUAUGUCACUAUCCUAAGAGAGUAACAUAAAACUCAGUUUAUAAUAUUAAAACUCUUGUGACACAAUGGUAUCAAUCACAUUCCCUAUAACAUUAAACUUUUCUUGUUUUUCUUUAAUUCUGCAUUUUUAGUGUAACAAAUGGGGAGUAAAACAGCAGCUUUUGUUCAUAAUUUCUCGGCAGAAGAGUUACAAGCCGAACGACGAUGAUGACGACAACCGCAGAGUCACAAGGGUCCUGAUGCCAGGAAGGUUCCAGGUGGAUGAUGGAGCUGGCGGUCGGGGCGGGAGUCGUUCGGACUCAGGUCGGCCCCAGGCUGCCUGCAGAGGACUGAGGGCGAUUGGGAAAAUUGCAGACCUUGGAAGAAUAUGAGCUGUUCCUCUAAGGUUUCAUUUUUUUUCUCCGUCGAUUUUUAUGCGCUCUCUGCAUAUUUUACUUUAAAGGCAGAGUAACCUGUCCUAGACUUGGAAUUAUUUUUUUAAUAAAUGUGCUCAUAUAGCUUAACACUUA